rnacentral:ncRNA from 1 species
UAUCAGGUGCCCUUCACAGGGUGAAACGGGAAACCGGUGCGUCAGGCUUUUGCCCUGACAAGUCCGGCGCUGCCCCCGCAACGGUAAACGAGAGAAACAUCACGUCCACUGUGCCACUGGCAUGGGAAGGAGAUGUUUGCAGGUUCAGCCCAUGAGCCCCUCGCAAGCCCGGAGACCGGCCUGAUUAUUUC